rnacentral:rRNA from 1 species
UACGUAGGGUGCAAGCGUUGUCCGGAAUUAUUGGGCGUAAAGAGCUCGUAGGCGGUUUGUUGCGUCGGCUGUGAAAUCCCGAGGCUCAACCUCGGGUCUGCAGUCGAUACGAGCAAACUAGAGUGUUGCAGGGGAGACUGGAAUUCCUGGUGUAGCGGUGGAAUGCGCAGAUAUCAGGAGGAACACCGGUGGCGAAGGCGGGUCUCUGGGCAGUAACUGACGCUGGAGGAGCGAAAGCGUGGGAGCGAACAGG